AGCAGUCGCCACGGUAAAACGUAGGGUCCGAGCGUUGUCCGGAAUUAUUGGGCGUAAAGAGCUCGUAGGCGGUGGUUUAAGUCCGUUGUGAAAGCCCUGGGCUCAACCUGGGAAUUGCAGUGGAUACUGGGUCACUAGAGUGUGGUAGAGGAUAGUGGAAUUUCCGGUGUAGCAGUGAAAUGCGUAGAGAUCGGAAGGAACAUCUGUGGCGAAGGCGACUAUCUGGGCCAACACUGACACUGAGGCACGAAAGCGUGGGGAGCAAACAGGAUUAGAUACCCCAGUAGUCCCUGUCUCUUAUAC
rnacentral:rRNA from 1 species